rnacentral:lncRNA from 1 species
GGACGGUCAGCGUGCAGCCACUCUGUGUGUCCAGAGGUACUUACAGCCCAGUGCAGCCUCCCAGCCGCCCCGGAGGUCAGGACCCCCGUGUCACCUCUGCCAUCGCCCCAGCUCAGCAGCGCAGCCUCGGGACCCAGGCUAACAGCCAGAGAAAAGCAGAGUCAGGACUCGAACCUGCGUGGCCGGAGCCGAGCUUGCCUGCCUGCUGCCCGCGCUGGUGCCGAGCGGUCCCAAGACAGACCCGACUCAGAGCUUGGGCGGGGUACUCAGCACCCACCCCGUGCUCGGUUCCCCAGCUAUGAAACAGCCCACACGGCCCCUCCCUUGUGGGGUUGUCGAGGGGAUGGAAGAUCAUCCAAGGGCGCCUAGAGCUGCUGGGAUUCAAGGCUGCCCCGCGCAGCUGCAGGCCCUGUUCCCCCCUCUGAGCCUCAGUUUCCCCAUCACUGUGAGACAGCGCCUCACGGGCAGUAAGUGCUUAACAAGUAGGUCUGCGGCCCCAGAGGGCAGCCCGGCUCAGCAGGACCUCUUCUAGGUCACUGGGGCAAAGGUCCGGAGGUCGCAGGCGGCCGGCCGGGGGAGGACAUUCUGGGGCUGGGGGAGGGCGCCGGAGCGGACGCUCAGGAGGCUGCAGGAGGCCAGGGUGACUCACCCGCCAGCGGGCUGGGGGCUGGGCCGCGGCCCCCCACGCGCCCCUCUGGGCCCUGCCUUGUGCCCAAAAGUGCUGUGUCAUGCUCUGUCAUGUGGCUCCGGGUCAUUAAUACCCGAGUUCUGGGAAGCUUGGGCCCAGUUCCCGGAAGGGGUCAGGCAGUUCAGUAAACACAUUGGCUGGUUGGUCGUCACAGCUGAGCCGGGCGGGCCUGCAGCUCGGGAGGCAGGAGGCGGGGACGGCGGCCAGCGGGGGCACAGGAACCGCCCCUGGCCUUGCGCGGGGCUGACACCUCCGGGGCAGCUGGCCCAGGCUCUAUAGACAAAAGGGGAAACUGAGGCUCAGAGAAGGCAAGACGCUUGCCAGAGGUCACACAGGGGGUCCAGGGUUCAAACCCUGACAUCGGACUGGUCACCCAGUGCUCGCAGCGUCUCUCGGACUGAUGGGCGGAUGCCCUGCGUCCUCCUGACCUGGACUCCGAGGCCCGUCGCUGGGUGAUGGGACACGAGUGGAGCGUCUGCGAAGGAGGCAGGUUGGGAAGCACCUCGGGCCGCCCCUGCGGCAGGUCCCACAGUAGUAAUGCCGCCAGCCAGCACUUCUGAGCACCUACUGUGUGCAGGGCACUGCUUGAGGCCUCCCACUAACCCACUCACUUACUAACAGCGCCUUCACACAAGUGGCCACACCCAGCGUCCCUAAAGCGACGGCCAAGCGCCCCCCUCGGACCCCUGCACGGCCCCACCGGGUGGCCGCUGUCCUCACCCCGCUUCUCAGAUAAGGACAUGGAGGUGGCAGAGCAAGCAGCUGUGUCGUUGGUGGUUGCAGAAAGCGCACUGGAGUCACCUGGACCCGGGGAUUCCAACCUCGGCUUCUCCCCUCCGGCUGUGUGAUCUCAUGCAAGUGAUUCCACCUCUCAGAGCCUCAGUUUCUCCCUCCGACAAAUGGGGAGGACUAUGGUGCUCAGGUCACAGGCCUGGUGGGAGCACAUGAGGAGCAUUACAGAGCAGUGCUUAGUGCAAGGACUUUGGGUUCCAGGAGGUCUGGAUUCCAAUACCACUCUGCCACUUCCUGGCUAUGUGACGUUAGCCGUGUUGCUUAACCUCUCUGGGCCUCCUCUGUGCCCUCUGUACAAUGGGCAUCAUGAUAACACCUCCCUCAUGCAACUAACGGGAGGAAUGAAUGAGCUGACGCCCCCGAAGCCAUCCGUGCAGGGCUGGGCGUCCUGUGGGCCUCCAUGCAGGCAACUCAUUCUCAUAUUUCACCAAAGAUGACUGCACAGGCCUGAGGGGAAAGGGCGCCUGGUGGUGGACAGAGGACGAGGCAGCCCUUCUUUAGCACGAGCCCCUGGAACAGAGGUCAGCCGCAUUCUCCACGCUCCCUGCCCUCCGGCCUGGCGGUGCCCCCAUGGGCCUCAUCUCUCCUUGCGGCGGCCUCCACCAGCCCCAGCCCCGUGGUCCAAACUCCCACCGCAUUGUUCCCGCCUUCACACAUCUUCACGCGCAGGGCCCGCCGCCUGGCCUGCCCCCGCUCACCCUAGACCGGCUGCCUGGUCUACAUUUCCCCCAUCCUUUGCCACUCGGAUUCAAAACCACCUCCUCCAGGGAGCCUGCCCUGAUCCUCCCAGGAAAGCGAACUCUCCCGGACUGGCUAACCUUCCCUCACGCCUUUCCAUCCUUACACAUCAGCUAUUUUUGCACGUCACCUCAAAUUUUGGCUGCUGCCAGGUGGCAGAUUUGCAAGGGACAUUUGGAACCAGAACUUCAUUGCCUCUAAAAUACUUAAAGAAACCUGCUAAACCGAAAUUAAUAAAUCGUUCAUUAAUCCACCUAAACUUCACACACCAGUAUUCAAUUUCUAAUUUAGCGUUUAGGAAAUGAUCUGCAAACGAGAACGCUCCUGGUUGGGCAAGUAGUCCCUGGCGUCCGCAGAGACUGCCAAGAACCCAAGUCGGGGGUAAAAUAAAG